rnacentral:rRNA from 1 species
CAAUAGCGUAUAUUAAAGUUGUUGCAGUUAAAAAGCUCGUAGUUGAACCUUGGGCCUGGCUGGCCGGUCUGCCUCACCGCAUGCACUGGUCCGGCCGGGCCUUUCCCUCUGGGGAUCCGCAUGCCCUUCACUGGGUGUGUCGGGGAACCAGGACUUUUACUGUGAAAAAAUUAGAGUGUUCAAAGCAGGCCUAUGCUCGAAUACAUUAGCAUGGAAUAAUAGAAUAGGACGUUGCGGUUCUAUUUUGUUGGUUUCUAGGACCGCCGUAAUGAUUAAUAGGGACAGUCGGGGGCGUCAGUAUUCAAUCGUCAGAGGUGAAAUUCUUGGAUCGAUUGAAGACUAACUACUGCGAAAGCAUUUACCAAGGAUGUUUUCAUUAA